GCUUCUCUGAUGUUAGCGGCGGACGGGUGAGUAACACGUGGAUAACCUACCUAUAAGACUGGGAUAACUUCGGGAAACCGGAGCUAAUACCGGAUAAUAUUUUGAACCGCAUGGUUCAAAAGUGAAAGACGGUCUUGCUGUCACUUAUAGAUGGAUCCGCGCUGCAUUAGCUAGUUGGUAAGGUAACGGCUUACCAAGGCAACGAUGCAUAGCCGACCUGAGAGGGUGAUCGGCCACACUGGAACUGAGACACGGUCCAGACUCCUACGGGAGGCAGCAGUAGGGAAUCUUCCGCAAUGGGCGAAAGCCUGACGGAGCAACGCCGCGUGAGUGAUGAAGGUCUUCGGAUCGUAAAACUCUGUUAUUAGGGAAGAACAUAUGUGUAAGUAACUGUGCACAUCUUGACGGUACCUAAUCAGAAAGCCACGGCUAACUACGUGCCAGCAGCCGCGGUAAUACGUAGGUGGCAAGCGUUAUCCGGAAUUAUUGGGCGUAAAGCGCGCGUAGGCGGUUUUUUAAGUCUGAUGUGAAAGCCCACGGCUCAACCGUGGAGGGUCAUUGGAAACUGGAAAACUUGAGUGCAGAAGAGGAAAGUGGAAUUCCAUGUGUAGCGGUGAAAUGCGCAGAGAUAUGGAGGAACACCAGUGGCGAAGGCGACUUUCUGGUCUGUAACUGACGCUGAUGUGCGAAAGCGUGGGGAUCAAACAGGAUUAGAUACCCUGGUAGUCCACGCCGUAAACGAUGAGUGCUAAGUGUUAGGGGGUUUCCGCCCCUUAGUGCUGCAGCUAACGCAUUAAGCACUCCGCCUGGGGAGUACGACCGCAAGGUUGAAACUCAAAGGAAUUGACGGGGACCCGCACAAGCGGUGGAGCAUGUGGUUUAAUUCGAAGCAACGCGAAGAACCUUACCAAAUCUUGACAUCCUUUGACAACUCUAGAGAUAGAGCCUUCCCCUUCGGGGGACAAAGUGACAGGUGGUGCAUGGUUGUCGUCAGCUCGUGUCGUGAGAUGUUGGGUUAAGUCCCGCAACGAGCGCAACCCUUAAGCUUAGUUGCCAUCAUUAAGUUGGGCACUCUAAGUUGACUGCCGGUGACAAACCGGAGGAAGGUGGGGAUGACGUCAAAUCAUCAUGCCCCUUAUGAUUUGGGCUACACACGUGCUACAAUGGACAAUACAAAGGGCAGCGAAACCGCGAGGUCAAGCAAAUCCCAUAAAGUUGUUCUCAGUUCGGAUUGUAGUCUGCAACUCGACUACAUGAAGCUGGAAUCGCUAGUAAUCGUAGAUCAGCAUGCUACGGUGAAUACGUUCCCGGGUCUUGUACACACCGCCCGUCACACCACGAGAGUUUGUAACACCCGAAGCCGGUGGAGUAACCUUUUAGGAGCUAGCCGUCGAAGGUGGGACAAAUGAUUGGGGUGAAGUCGUAACAAGGUAGCCGUAUCGGAAGGUGCGGCUGGAUCACCUCCUUUCUAAGGA
rnacentral:rRNA from 1 species